CAUAUUCAGGAUGGAAAAAUUUGAAUGACGUGUAUUUUAUAAGAUAUCACAGUAAUAUAUAUUAUCUUCAUAAUUUGAUUAAAAAACCUGCCAUUCACUAUAGACGGUAUCAAAUAGUACGAGCAUUAUCUAUACAUCUGGGAUGUACAUACGGAAAAGUUUUAAAAAGUCUAUCUAUAAUAAUUGACAACAUUAAAAAAAUUUGUGAAAAAAAAUUUAUAGAAAACGACAUAAUAAAUGGAUGCAUUUGCACCGAAAAACUCAUAUAUAUAAUAUCAAAGUUAUUUGUUCCAAUGGUAACAUUGAUGAAAGGUGCCAUGGACGCUUUAGAUUUAUUACAAGACAAACCAUUGGUUACUUGUGAUAGAAUUUACUACACAUUAGGUAUUUUAUUAGGGAAAAUAGAAGAUAUUCUUGACAAAUUUUUAGAACGAUCUUUAUCGCGUAAUGAUUUAUAUACAUAUUUUUCGACAUUAGAUAUAGUAGAUAUUUUACUGAAAACAAAAAUAAGUAAUGUAAUUAAUAAAGCUAAUAUCCAUUGUGAAUUUGUACCUUAUGAUACGAAUUAUUUAUGGAAUGAGUGGCAUCAAGAAUAUAAAAACAUUAUUAACCAAGGCAUAAAAUUAGUAUUCAUCAAAUUCGUAACCAGAAAAGUUGAAGAUUAUAUCAGAAGUGUAAUUAUAGAAAAGUAUUUUCAACUGGGAUUCAAAUUUGAUCCAAUCACUGAAGAAACAUUUGUAAUAAAUGAGAAAAUUCAACUAGGGACGUGGUGUUGCGCGGUGGUGACACUAGUUGUUGUCAAAACUCUAGUGUAAAACCGCGCCUACCGCCGUAGGUGAACGGAUGGGUGACCAUACGUGCGCUUUUACGGUGGCGAAAAAGCUCCAUGUUCCCAGUGCAGAAGGGUACGGGAAACCUCUGCACUUAAAUUUCACCAGGAUAUACCAAUCCAAUUGGUAUUAAACAACCUAACGGUAGUAAAAAAAUAAUUUUUUUUAUGAAUUUAGAUUUGAAAUUUAAAGCAACAGAUGGAGUGGUUCUAAUGCCAAUACAAAUAGAAAAUCAUUAAAUGUUGUAAUACAAUUAUUUUAUCCUACAUUUAUAUAUUAUAAUUAAUCAAAAUUUAUAUAAUAGUUCAGCAAAUGUUUAAAUAUAUAAA